rnacentral:rRNA from 1 species
AUACGUAGGGGGCGAGCGUUGUCCGGAAUGAUUGGGCGUAAAGGGCGCGUAGGCGGCCCGGUAAGUCUGGAGUGAAAGUCCUGUUUUUAAGAUGGGAAUUGCUUUGGAUACUGUCGGGCUUGAGUGCAGGAGAGGUAAGUGGAAUUCCCAGUGUAGCGGUGAAAUGCGUAGAGAUUGGGAGGAACACCAGUGGCGAAGGCGACUUACUGGACUGUAACUGACGCUGAGGCGCGAAAGUGUGGGGAGCAAACAGGAUUAGAUACCCUGGUAGUCCACACUGUAAACGAUGAAUGCUAGGUGUAGGGGGUAUCGACCCCUUCUGUGCCGCAGUCAACACAAUAAGCAUUCCGCCUGGGGAGUACGGCCGCAAGGUUAAAACUCAAAGGAAUUGACGGGG